CUUGGUCUUAAUAAUGUGAAGAAGUCAGUUGUCUGAAGAUCUGGAAGAAAAACAUUUCGGAUAAACAAGGGCCAUGAAGAAGAAUAGAGGGGAGUUUAAUAACGUUUGCUGAUGAAGCACACAGAGGAUGAAUGACCUGAUACCAUACACACUGGACCUGGAGCAGCAUUAAUUCAGGGUAACGCAUAGAGGCAGGAAGAGAAGCAGGAAGACGUCUUUAAAGUAUUAAUUGAAUACCAGAGGAACAUUAAGGACAAGUUAGAGGACUGAUCAGUUGUCUACAGAUAAUAACAAUGAUGACUGUAAAUGUGUAGAAUCAGCAAGUUAAAACAUUAAGCAAUUUCCUGAAGUGGUGCAAACAUCAAAUGCUUUGACUAUUUAAUUUUUUAAGAAGCCA